AUACGAACUCUUAGAUCAAAGGAU
rnacentral:siRNA from 1 species